rnacentral:rRNA from 1 species
AGAGGGCUUGAAUCGGCGGGAGGGAAGCGGAUGGAUCCGGGACUGCCCCGAUUGAUUUGGGAAAGGUGUAUGGUGAGUCCUCCGUCUCUCGUUGCUCGGACCGACCCAAUUUGAGUUGUCUACCCAAGCCCGGCCUGUGAUAUGCCCGGGGAUGCUUCAGCGACAUUAGCGAGCAACGCUUUGAGCGCCUCUCGCUGUGCUUCAAAAUCUGUUAGCUCCUUUUGUCUUGUGAUUUCUCCCCAUUCUUACCGUCAUUUAUUGCGUCCCUCUGAUUGUGACAUGCGGGCGAAUGCGCGACGUGCUUUUCUUUAAAUCGCACCAAAUAAUGCUGUCGUAAUCCCCUCCCCAUGUAGAACCCGCGACCGAAUCCGACCCGUCUUGAAACACGGACCGAGACAUGAUUGUGUGCACCCGAAAGAGGGUGAACUAUGCCUGAAGGGAAAUGAAACAAAAUGAACUCUUUAGAGAGUGACGUGCGAUCUUGACGAAAGGUCAGCAUGGCCCCAUUGCUAACUAGUUUACAGAAGACUAGUAGGAACCAGCGUACGCGUGGAUACUCGAAAGAUGGUGAACUAUUCCUGAGCAGGACGAAGCCAGAGGAAACUCUGGUGGAAGUCCGAAGCGGUUCUGACGUGCAAAUCGAUCGUCUGACUUGGGUAUAGGGGCGAAAGACUAAUCGAACCAUCUAGUAGCUG